rnacentral:rRNA from 1 species
AAUGGGGGCAACCCUGAUCCAGCAAUGCCGCGUGUGUGAAGAAGGCCUUAGGGUUGUAAAGCACUUUCAGUCGUGACGAUGAUGACGGUAACGACAGAAGAAGCCCCGGCUAACUCCGUGCCAGCAGCCGCGGUAAUACGGAGGGGGCAAGCGUUGUUCGGAAUUACUGGGCGUAAAGGGCGCGUAGGCGGCCAAGUCAGUCAGGCGUGAAAGCCCAGGGCUCAACCCUGGAAUUGCGCUUGAUACUGCUUGGCUCGAGACCGGAAGAGGGUAGUGGAAUUCCCAGUGUAGAGGUGAAAUUCGUAGAUAUUGGGAAGAACACCAGUGGCGAAGGCGGCUACCUGGUCCGGAUCUGACGCUGAGGCGCGAAAGCGUGGGGAGCAAACAGGAUU